UACGUAGGGUGCGAGCGUUAAUCGGAAUUACUGGGCGUAAAGCGUGCGCAGGCGGUUGUGCAAGACAGAUGUGAAAUCCCCGGGCUUAACCUGGGAACUGCGUUUGAAACUACAAGGCUAGAGUGUGGCAGAGGGGGGUGGAAUUCCACGUGUAGCAGUGAAAUGCGUAGAGAUGUGGAGGAACACCGAUGGCGAAGGCAGCCCCCUGGGUUAACACUGACGCUCAGGCACGAAAGCGUGGGGAGCAAACAGG
rnacentral:rRNA from 1 species